rnacentral:rRNA from 1 species
AGGAGAGUUUGAUCCUGGCUCAGGAUGAACGCUAGCUACAGGCUUAACACAUGCAAGUCGAGGGGCAUCAUGAUUUUAGCUUGCUAAGAUUGAUGGCGACCGGCGCACGGGUGAGUAACGCGUAUCCAACCUGCCCCCCAGUAGGGCACAGCCCGUAGAAAUGCGGAUUAAUGCCCUAUGUUGUCCGACGAUGGCAUCAGACUUGGACGAAAGGCUUGCCGCUGGGGGAUGGGGAUGCGUCUGAUUAGGUUGCAGGCGGGGUGACGGCCCACCUGGCCGACGAUCAGUAGGGGUUCUGAGAGGAAGGUCCCCCACAUUGGAACUGAGACACGGUCCAAACUCCUACGGGAGGCAGCAGUGAGGAAUAUUGGUCAAUGGAGGCAACUCUGAACCAGCCAAGUAGCGUGCGGGAUGACGGCCCUAUGGGUUGUAAACCGCUUUAGCAGGGGAAUAAAGUGUGCCACGGGUGGCAUAUUGCAUGUACCCUGAGAAUAAGGACCGGCUAAUUCCGUGCCAGCAGCCGCGGUAAUACGGAAGGUCCGGGCGUUAUCCGGAUUUAUUGGGUUUAAAGGGAGCGCAGGCGGGCUUUUAAGCGUGACGUGAAAUGCCGCGGCUCAACCGUGGAAGUGCGUCGCGAACUGGGAGUCUUGAGUGAGGACGCCGCAGGCGGAAUUCGUGGUGUAGCGGUGAAAUGCUUAGAUAUCACGAAGAACCCCGAUUGCGAAGGCAGCCUGCGAGGCCUCAACUGACGCUAAAGCUCGAAGGUGCGGGUAUCGAACAGGAUUAGAUACCCUGGUAGUCCCCU